rnacentral:rRNA from 1 species
AUUGAACGCUGGCGGCAUGCCUAACACAUGCAAGUCGAACGCGUGGCGGACGGGUGAGUAAUGUCUGGGAAACUGCCUGAUGGAGGGGGAUAACUACUGUAAACGGUAGCUACUACCGCAUACCAUCAGAUGUGCUCAGAUGGGAUUAGCUAGUUGGUGGGGUAACGGCUCACCAAGGCGACGAUCCCUAGCUGGUCUGAGAGGAUGACCAGCCACACUGGAACUGAGACACGGUCCAGACUCCUACGGGAGGCAGCAGUGGGGAAUAUUGCACAAUGGGCGAAAGCCUGAUGCAGCAAUGCCGCGUGUAUGAAGAAGGCCUGCGGGUUGUAAAGUACUGUCAGCGGGGAGGCGUUACCCGCAGAAGAAGCACCGGCUAACUCCGUGCCAGCAGCCGCGGUAAUUC